GUAGGGAAUCUUCCACAAUGGACGAGAGUCUGAUGGAGCAACGCCGCGUGAGCGAAGAAGGUUUUCGGAUCGUAAAGCUCUGUUGCCGGAGAAGAACGGGCGGGAGAGGGAAUGCUCCCGUCGUGACGGUAUCCGGCGAGCAAGUCACGGCUAACUACGUGCCAGCAGCCGCGGUAAUACGUAGGUGGCGAGCGUUGUCCGGAAUUAUUGGGCGUAAAGGGCACGCAGGCGGCUGUUUAAGUCCGGUGUGAAAGGUUGCGGCUUAACCGCAAACGGGCACCGGAAACUGAAGAGCUUGAGGGCAGAAGAGGGGAGCAGAAUUCCACGUGUAGCGGUGAAAUGCGUAGAGAUGUGGAAGAAUACCGGUGGCGAAAGCGGCUCUCUGGUCUGCACCUGACGCUGAGGUGCGAAAGCGUGGGGAGCGAACAGGAUUAGAUACCCUGGUAGUCC
rnacentral:rRNA from 1 species